AAUGUCGAUAAUCUUUGCGCUUGUGCAAAAUGACGCAGCUAAUGAGGUCUUA
rnacentral:sRNA from 1 species